CAACUUGAGAGUUUGAUCCUGGCUCAGAACGAACGCUGGCGGCAUGCCUAACACAUGCAAGUCGAACGAAGGCCCUAGCUUGCUAGGUGUCCUUAGUGGCGAACGGGUGAGUAACGCGUGGGAACCUGCCCUAGAGUGGGGAACAACCUUUGGAAACGAAGGCUAAUACCGCAUACGCUCUGAGGAGGAAAGGCUUCGGCCGCUCUUGGAUGGUCCCGCGUCUGAUUAGCUUGUUGGUGGGGUAACGGCCUACCAAGGCGACGAUCAGUAGCUGGUC
rnacentral:rRNA from 1 species